rnacentral:rRNA from 1 species
AUUGAACGCUGGCGGCAGGCUUAACACAUGCAAGUCGAGCGAGCGGCGGACGGGUGAGUAAUGUAUGGGAAACUGCCUGAUGGAGGGGGAUAACUACUGGAAACGGUAGCUAAUACCGCAUACCAUCAGAUGCGCCCAUCUGGGCUUAGCUAGUAGGUGGGGUAAUGGCUCACCUAGGCGACGAUCCCUAGCUGGUCUGAGAGGAUGACCAGCCACACUGGGACGGAGACACGGCCCAGACUCCUACGGGAGGCAGCAGUGGGGAAUAUUGCACAAUGGGCGCAAGCCUGAUGCAGCCAUGCCGCGUGUAUGAAGAAGGCCUUCGGGUUGUAAAGUACUUUCAGCGGGGAGGCGUUACCCGCAGAAGAAGCACCGGCUAACUCCGUGCCAGCAGCCGCGGUAAUAC